UCCUACGGGAGGCAGCAGUGGGGAAUAUUGGACAAUGGGGGAAACCCUGAUCCAGCAAUGCCGCGUGAGUGAAGAAGGCCUUAGGGUUGUAAAGCUCUUUCGCCCGUGACGAUGAUGACGGUAACGGGAGAAGAAGCCCCGGCUAAUUCCGUGCCAGCAGCCGCGGUAAUACGGAAGGGGCUAGCGUUGUUCGGAUUACUGGGCGUAAAGCGCAUGUAGGCGGCGGAUCAAGUGGGGGCGUGAAAAGGCCUGGGCUCAACCUUGGGAACUGCCCUUCA
rnacentral:rRNA from 1 species